UACGUAGGAGGCGAGCGUUGUCCGGAUUUACUGGGCGUAAAGAGCGCGCAGGCGGCAUACCAAGUACGAAGUGAAAUCUCCCUGCUCAACGGGGAGUGUGCUUUGUAGACUGGUAAGCUCGAGGACGGUAGAGGGGGGUAGAAUUGCUGGUGUAGCGGUGAAAUGCGUAGAGAUCAGCAGGAAUACCCGUGGCGAAGGCGGCCCCCUGGGCCGAACCUGACGCUGAGGCGCGAAGGCUAGGGGAGCGAACGGG
rnacentral:rRNA from 1 species